rnacentral:rRNA from 1 species
UACGAAGGGGGCUAGCGUUGCUCGGAAUCACUGGGCGUAAAGCGCACGUAGGCGGAUUGCUAAGUCAGGGGUGAAAUCCUGGAGCUCAACUCCAGAACUGCCCUUGAUACUGGCGGUCUCGAGUCCGGGAGAGGUGAGUGGAACUGCGAGUGUAGAGGUGAAAUUCGUAGAUAUUCGCAAGAACACCAGUGACGAAGGCGGCUCACUGGCCCGGUACUGACGCUGAGGUGCGAAAGCGUGGGGAGCAAACAGG